GAUGAACGCUGGCGGCGUGCCUAAUACAUGCAAGUCGAGCGAACAGACGAGGAGCUUGCUCCUCUGACGUUAGCGGCGGACGGGUGAGUAACACGUGGAUAACCUACCUAUAAGACUGGGAUAACUUCGGGAAACCGGAGCUAAUACCGGAUAAUAUAUUGAACCGCAUGGUUCAAUAGUGAAAGACGGUUUUGCUGUCACUUAUAGAUGGAUCCGCGCCGCAUUAGCUAGUUGGCAAGGUAACGGCUUACCAAGGCGACGAUGCGUAGCCGACCUGAGAGGGUGAUCGGCCACACUGGAACUGAGACACGGUCCAGACUCCUACGGGAGGCAGCAGUAGGGAAUCUUCCGCAAUGGGCGAAAGCCUGACGGAGCAACGCCGCGUGAGUGAUGAAGGUCUUCGGAUCGUAAAACUCUGUUAUUAGGGAAGAACAAAUGUGUAAGUAACUAUGCACGUCUUGACGGUACCUAAUCAGAAAGCCACGGCUAACUACGUG
rnacentral:rRNA from 1 species